UUCCAUAACAAAGUUUUUAUGGUAGUACCUGCCCCAUGUGAAUUGUCAUUAAUGGCCGCAGUAUAUUGACUGUGCAAAGGUAGCAUAAUUAAUUGCCUUAUAAUUGAAGGCUUGUUUGAAUGGUUUGACGAGGUAGUUACAAAUAUUUGAUUUUUAGUUGAAAUUGGUAUGGAGGGCACAGAAACCUCCUGAAUUAAUUAGACGGAAAGACCCCAGAAUCUUUCUUUUUUGUCUGGGGCGGAUGGAAAUUUUUCAUUUUUAUUGUGACCCCUUCUGGUUUAGUGAGUUAAGUUACUCUGGGGAUAACAGUGUAAUAAUUUAUUAGAGGCCUUAUCGAAUAAAUUGUUUGCCACCUCGAUGUUGACUUAGGUAAAUAGAUUAGGCGCAGUAGUUUAAUUUUUAGGUCUGUUCGACCUUUGUUACCUCC
rnacentral:rRNA from 1 species